UCCGUAGGUGAACCUGCGGAGGGAUCAUUACACAAUAAAAUAUGAAGGCUGUACGCGGCUGUGCUCUCGGGCCAGUUUUGCGGAGGCUGAAUUAUUUAUUACCCUUGUCUUUUGCGCACUUGUUGUUUCCUGGGCGGGUUCGCCCGCCACCAGGACCACAUCAUAAACCUUUUUUAUGCAGUUGCAAUCAGCGUCAGUAUAACAAAUGUAAAUCAUUUACAACUUUCAACAACGGAUCUCUUGGUUCUGGCAUCGAUGAAGAACGCAGCGAAAUGCGAUACGUAGUGUGAAUUGCAGAAUUCAGUGAAUCAUCGAAUCUUUGAACGCACAUUGCGCCCUUUGGUAUUCCAAAGGGCAUGCCUGUUCGAGCGUCAUUUGUACCCUCAAGCUUUGCUUGGUGUUGGGCGUUUUUUGUCUUUGGUUGCCAAAGACUCGCCUUAAAAGGAUUGGCAGCCGGCCUACUGGUUUCGCAGCGCAGCACAUUUUUGCGCUUGCAAUCAGCAAAAGAGGACGGCAAUCCAUCAAGACUCCUUCUCACGUUUGACCUCGGAUCAGGUAGGGAUACCCGCUGAACUUAAGCAUAUCAAUAAGCGGAGGA
rnacentral:rRNA from 1 species